UUAAGCGACUAAGCGUACACGGUGGAUGCCCUGGCAGUCAGAGGCGAUGAAGGACGUGCUAAUCUGCGAUAAGCGUCGGUAAGGUGAUAUGAACCGUUAUAACCGGCGAUUUCCGAAUGGGGAAACCCAGUGUGAUUCGUCACACUAUCAUUAACUGAAUCCAUAGGUUAAUGAGGCGAACCGGGGGAACUGAAACAUCUAAGUACCCCGAGGAAAAGAAAUCAACCGAGAUUCCCCCAGUAGCGGCGAGCGAACGGGGAGCAGCCCAGAGCCUGAAUCAGUGUGUGUGUUAGUGGAAGCGUCUGGAAAGGCGCGCGAUACAGGGUGACAGCCCCGUACACAAAAAUGCACAUGCUGUGAGCUCGAUGAGUAGGGCGGGACACGUGGUAUCCUGUCUGAAUAUGGGGGGACCAUCCUCCAAGGCUAAAUACUCCUGACUGACCGAUAGUGAACCAGUACCGUGAGGGAAAGGCGAAAAGAACCCCGGCGAGGGGAGUGAAAAAGAACCUGAAACCGUGUACGUACAAGCAGUGGGAGCACGCUUAGGCGUGUGACUGCGUACCUUUUGUAUAAUGGGUCAGCGACUUAUAUUCUGUAGCAAGGUUAACCGAAUAGGGGAGCCGAAGGGAAACCGAGUCUUAACUGGGCGUUAAGUUGCAGGGUAUAGACCCGAAACCCGGUGAUCUAGCCAUGGGCAGGUUGAAGGUUGGGUAACACUAACUGGAGGACCGAACCGACUAAUGUUGAAAAAUUAGCGGAUGACUUGUGGCUGGGGGUGAAAGGCCAAUCAAACCGGGAGAUAGCUGGUUCUCCCCGAAAGCUAUUUAGGUAGCGCCUCGUGAAUUCAUCUCCGGGGGUAGAGCACUGUUUCGGCAAGGGGGUCAUCCCGACUUACCAACCCGAUGCAAACUACGAAUACCGGAGAAUGUUAUCACGGGAGACACACGGCGGGUGCUAACGUCCGUCGUGAAGAGGGAAACAACCCAGACCGCCAGCUAAGGUCCCAAAGUCAUGGUUAAGUGGGAAACGAUGUGGGAAGGCCCAGACAGCCAGGAUGUUGGCUUAGAAGCAGCCAUCAUUUAAAGAAAGCGUAAUAGCUCACUGGUCGAGUCGGCCUGCGCGGAAGAUGUAACGGGGCUAAACCAUGCACCGAAGCUGCGGCAGCGACGCUGAUGCGUUGUUGGGUAGGGGAGCGUUCUGUAAGCCUGCGAAGGUGUGCUGUGAGGCAUGCUGGAGGUAUCAGAAGUGCGAAUGCUGACAUAAGUAACGAUAAAGCGGGUGAAAAGCCCGCUCGCCGGAAGACCAAGGGUUCCUGUCCAACGUUAAUCGGGGCAGGGUGAGUCGACCCCUAAGGCGAGGCCGAAAGGCGUAGUCGAUGGGAAACAGGUUAAUAUUCCUGUACUUGGUGUUACUGCGAAGGGGGGACGGAGAAGGCUAUGUUGGCCGGGCGACGGUUGUCCCGGUUUAAGCGUGUAGGCUGGUUUUCCAGGCAAAUCCGGAAAAUCAAGGCUGAGGCGUGAUGACGAGGCACUACGGUGCUGAAGCAACAAAUGCCCUGCUUCCAGGAAAAGCCUCUAAGCAUCAGGUAACAUCAAAUCGUACCCCAAACCGACACAGGUGGUCAGGUAGAGAAUACCAAGGCGCUUGAGAGAACUCGGGUGAAGGAACUAGGCAAAAUGGUGCCGUAACUUCGGGAGAAGGCACGCUGAUAUGUAGGUGAAGCGACUUGCUCGUGGAGCUGAAAUCAGUCGAAGAUACCAGCUGGCUGCAACUGUUUAUUAAAAACACAGCACUGUGCAAACACGAAAGUGGACGUAUACGGUGUGACGCCUGCCCGGUGCCGGAAGGUUAAUUGAUGGGGUCAGCGCAAGCGAAGCUCUUGAUCGAAGCCCCGGUAAACGGCGGCCGUAACUAUAACGGUCCUAAGGUAGCGAAAUUCCUUGUCGGGUAAGUUCCGACCUGCACGAAUGGCGUAAUGAUGGCCAGGCUGUCUCCACCCGAGACUCAGUGAAAUUGAACUCGCUGUGAAGAUGCAGUGUACCCGCGGCAAGACGGAAAGACCCCGUGAACCUUUACUAUAGCUUGACACUGAACAUUGAGCCUUGAUGUGUAGGAUAGGUGGGAGGCUUUGAAGUGUGGACGCCAGUCUGCAUGGAGCCGACCUUGAAAUACCACCCUUUAAUGUUUGAUGUUCUAACGUGGACCCGUAAUCCGGGUUGCGGACAGUGUCUGGUGGGUAGUUUGACUGGGGCGGUCUCCUCCUAAAGAGUAACGGAGGAGCACGAAGGUUGGCUAAUCCUGGUCGGACAUCAGGAGGUUAGUGCAAUGGCAUAAGCCAGCUUGACUGCGAGCGUGACGGCGCGAGCAGGUGCGAAAGCAGGUCAUAGUGAUCCGGUGGUUCUGAAUGGAAGGGCCAUCGCUCAACGGAUAAAAGGUACUCCGGGGAUAACAGGCUGAUACCGCCCAAGAGUUCAUAUCGACGGCGGUGUUUGGCACCUCGAUGUCGGCUCAUCACAUCCUGGGGCUGAAGUAGGUCCCAAGGGUAUGGCUGUUCGCCAUUUAAAGUGGUACGCGAGCUGGGUUUAGAACGUCGUGAGACAGUUCGGUCCCUAUCUGCCGUGGGCGCUGGAGAACUGAGGGGGGCUGCUCCUAGUACGAGAGGACCGGAGUGGACGCAUCACUGGUGUUCGGGUUGUCAUGCCAAUGGCACUGCCCGGUAGCUAAAUGCGGAAGAGAUAAGUGCUGAAAGCAUCUAAGCACGAAACUUGCCCCGAGAUGAGUUCUCCCUGACUCCUUGAGAGUCCUGAAGGAACGUUGAAGACGACGACGUUGAUAGGCCGGGUGUGUAAGCGCAGCGAUGCGUUGAGCUAACCGGUACUAAUGAACCGUGAGGCUUAACCUU
rnacentral:rRNA from 1 species